rnacentral:rRNA from 1 species
UGGGGAAUAUUGCACAAUGGGCGAAAGCCUGAUGCAGCAACGCCGCGUGAGUGAUGAAGGCCUUCGGGUUGUAAAGCUCUGUCUUCUGGGACGAUAAUGACGGUACCAGAGGAGGAAGCCACGGCUAACUACGUGCCAGCAGCCGCGGUAAUACGUAGGUGGCAAGCGUUGUCCGGAUUUACUGGGCGUAAAGGAUGCGUAGGCGGAUACUUAAGUCAGAUGUGAAAAUCCCGGGCUUAACUUGGGAACUGCAUUUGAAACUGGGUAUCUAGAGUGCGGGAGAGGAAAGUGGAAUUCCUAGUGUAGCGGUGAAAUGCGUAGAGAUUAGGAAUAACACCAGUGGCGAAGGCGACUUUCUGGACCAUAACUGACGCUGAGGCAUGAAAGCGUGGGGAGCAAACA